AUGCUGCUGUGCACUUGCGCGAGCCGUCUGCGCUGCGCGCUGUGCGAUGCGGGGGCGGACGUGCACUGCCAGGCCGACGCGGCGUUCCUCUGCGCGCCGUGCGACGCCAAGGUGCACGGCGCCAACUUCCUCGCGUCCCGCCACCGCCGCACGCGUGUCCAGCCGCCCAACCACGUCCGCGUGCUCUGCAGGGCGGCGCUCCAGCUUUGGGCCAGGCAGAUGGGCCUGGACGCUCGGGCUGCGCGCCUGUGUGCCGCAGCAGCCGGCCGCACGCUCCUGCUCGAGUUCACGGCCGCGCCGCCGCAAAUGCUGCUGCGCGUCGCUAUGGCUGCCGCGCUGUGGAGCGAGGUGGCGGCUCACGGCGGAGUCCACAAGCCCCGCCACGCGCUCAAGCGCCUCGAAGCCUGCGCACGCGUGCCGGCGAGUUCUCUUGUGGUGGUGGCAACCGCGAUCGGGCGCGCCCGCCUAGUAAGGACGGCCGGAGUGGACGCCAAGGAGGAUUCCGUCGAGUGCUUGAUCGUGAGCCCACGCAAGACACCACAAGAGCUUUGCUUAUUCGUUUAG
rnacentral:rRNA from 1 species